CGGAGUGCAUAUUUAGUAAAUAGUUGAUUUGCACUCAUCUUUUAUGAAUUUUUUCAUACUGA
rnacentral:tRNA from 1 species